GAUGAACGCUGGCGGCGUGCCUAAUACAUGCAAGUCGAGCGAACAGACGAGGAGCUUGCUCCUCUGACGUUAGCGGCGGACGGGUGAGUAACACGUGGAUAACCUACCUAUAAGACUGGGAUAACUUCGGGAAACCGGAGCUAAUACCGGAUAAUAUAUUGAACCGCAUGGUUCAAUAGUGAAAGACGGUUUUGCUGUCACUUAUAGAUGGAUCCGCGCCGCAUUAGCUAGUUGGUAAGGUAACGGCUUACCAAGGCAACGAUGCGUAGCCGACCUGAGAGGGUGGUCGGCGACACUGGAACUGAGACACGGUCCAGACUCCUACGGGAGGCAGCAGUAGGGAAUCUUCCGCAAUGGGCGAAAGCCUGACGGAGCAACGCCGCGUGAGUGAUGAAGGUCUUCGGAUCGUAAAACUCUGUUAUGAGGGAAGAACAAAUGUGUAAGUAACUAUGCACGUCUUGACGGUACCUAGUCAGAAAGCCACGGCUAACUACGUG
rnacentral:rRNA from 1 species